AAGCUAAGGCGAGGCCGAAAGGCGUAGUCGAUGCUCAUACGGUUGAAAUUCCCUAGCCGCCGAAAUUGUUAAGCACAGGGACACAUAGAGAUAUCCGAACCCGGGCGUUGGUUGACCCGGGCGCGCGGGACCGAACAUCAGUAGGGAAGUCGGAGAUGCUCUGUGGCGAGAAAAGCUGUGUGUAUUGAUUAGGCGCCCGUACCGCAAACCGACACAGGUAGAUGAGGAGAGAAUCCUAAGGCCAACGGGAGAAGGGUUGUUAAGGAACUCGGCAAAUUGACCCCGUAACUUCGGGAUAAGGGGAGCCUCCUACGGGAGGCCGCAGUGAAUAGGCCCAAGCAACUGUUUACCAAAAACACAGGUCUCUGCUAAAUCGAAAGAUGACGUAUAGGGGCUGACGCCUGCCCGGUGCCGGAAGGUUAAGAGGAGAGCUUAGCGCAAGCGAAGGUUCGAAUUGAAGCCCCGGUAAACGGCGGCCGUAACUAUAACGGUCCUAAGGUAGCGAAAUUCCUUGUCAGGUAAGUUCUGACCCGCACGAAUGGCGUAAUGAUUUGGGCACUGUCUCAACAGCCCGCCCGGCGAAAUUGUAGUACUGGUGAAGAUGCCAGUUACCCGCAACUAGACGGAAAGACCCCAUGGAGCUUUACUGUAGCCUAAUACUGAAGAUCGGUAAUGCAUGUACAGGAUAGGUGGGAGCCAGCGAAACCCGGGCGUCAGCUCGGAUGGAGGCAACCUUGGAAUACCACCCUUGUAUUGCUGGUUUUCUAACCUGCGGCCAUGAAUCUGGUCGGGGGACACUGUUAGGUGGGCAGUUUGACUGGGGCGGUCGCCUCCAAAAGCGUAACGGAGGCGCUCAAAGGUUGGCUCAGCACGGACGGAAAUCGUGCAUAGAGUGCAAACGCAUAAGCCAACUUGACUGCGAGACCGACGGGUCGAGCAGGUACGAAAGUAGGAGUUAGUGAUCCGGUGGUAUGUGAGUGGAAAUGCCAUCGCUCAACGGAUAAAAGCUACCCUGGGGAUAACAGGCUGAUCUCCCCCAAGCGUCCACAGCGACGGGGAGGUUUGGCACCUCGAUGUCGGCUCGUCACAUCCUGGGGCUGUAUUCGGUCCCAAGGGUUCGGCUGUUCGCCGAUUAAAGUGGCACACGAGCUGGGUUCAGAACGUCGUGAGACAGUUCGGUCCCUAUCUGUUGCGGGCGCAGGAGAUUUGAAGGGAGCUGUCCUUAGUACGAGAGGACCGGGAUGGACAGACCUCUGGUGCACCAGUUGUCGUGCCAACGGCACAGCUGGGUAGCUACGUCUGGACGAGAUAAACGCUGAAAGCAUCUAAGUGUGAAACUCCCCCUAAGAUAAGAUCUCCCAUCCAUUAGGAGUAAGGGACGACAAAGACUAUGUCGUUGAUAGGUCGGAAGUGUAAGUGCAGUAAUGCAUUGAGCUGACCGAUACUAAUAACCCGAGGGCUUGACCA
rnacentral:rRNA from 1 species